UGGGGAAUAUUGCACAAUGGGCGAAAGCCUGAUGCAGCAACGCCGCGUGAGGGACGACGGCCUUCGGGUUGUAAACCUCUUUUAGCAAGGAAGAAGCGAAAGUGACGGUACUUGCAGAAAAAAGCGCCGGCUAACUACGUGCCAGCAGCCGCGGUAAUACGUAGGGCGCAAGCGUUAUCCGGAAUUAUUGGGCGUAAAGAGCUCGUAGGCGGUUUGUCGCGUCUGCUGUGAAAACCCGAGGCUCAACCUCGGGCCUGCAGUGGGUACGGGCAGACUAGAGUGCGGUAGGGGAGAUUGGAACUCCUGGUGUAGCGGUGGAAUGCGCAGAUAUCAGGAAGAACACCGAUGGCGAAGGCAGAUCUCUGGGCCGUAACUGACGCUGAGGAGCGAAAGGGUGGGGAGCAAACAGGCUUAGAUACCCUGGUAGUCCACCCCGUAAACGUUGGGAACUAGUUGUGGGGUCCAUUCCACGGAUUCCGUGACGCAGCUAACGCAUUAAGUUCCCCGCCUGGGGAGUACGGCCGCAAGGCUAAAACUUAAAGGAAUUGACGGGGUCAUAGCUGUUUCCU
rnacentral:rRNA from 1 species